rnacentral:rRNA from 1 species
AGAGUUUGAUCAUGGCUCAGAUUGAACGCUGGCGGCAGGCCUAACACAUGCAAGUCGAACGGUAACAGGAAGCAGCUUGCUGCUUUGCUGACGAGUGGCGGACGGGUGAGUAAUGUCUGGGAAACUGCCUGAUGGAGGGGGAUAACUACUGGAAACGGUGGCUAAUACCGCAUAACGUCGCAAGACCAAAGAGGGGGACCUUCGGGCCUCUUGCCAUCAGAUGUGCCCAGAUGGGAUUAGCUAGUUGGUGAGGUAACGGCUCACCAAGGCGACGAUCCCUAGCUGGUCUGAGAGGAUGACCAGCCACACUGGAACUGAGACACGGUCCAGACUCCUACGGGAGGCAGCAGUGGGGAAUAUUGCACAAUGGGCGCAAGCCUGAUGCAGCCAUGCCGCGUGUAUGAAGAAGGCCUUCGGGUUGUAAAGUACUUUCAGCGGGGAGGAAGGUGUUGUGGUUAAUAACCGCAGCAAUUGACGUUACCCGCAGAAGAAGCACCGGCUAACUCCGUGCCAGCAGCCGCGGUAAUACGGAGGGUGCAAGCGUUAAUCGGAAUUACUGGGCGUAAAGCGCACGCAGGCGGUCUGUCAAGUCGGAUGUGAAAUCCCCGGGCUCAACCUGGGAACUGCAUUUGAAACUGGCAGGCUUGAGUCUUGUAGAGGGGGGUAGAAUUCCAGGUGUAGCGGUGAAAUGCGUAGAGAUCUGGAGGAAUACCGGUGGCGAAGGCGGCCCCCCUGGACAAAGACUGACGCUCAGGUGCGAAAGCGUGGGGGAGCAAACAGGAUUAGAUACCCUGGUAGUCCACGCCGUAAACGAUGUCUACUUGGAGGUUGUGCCCUUGAGGCGUGGCUUCCGGAGCUAACGCGUUAAGGUAGACCGCCUGGGGAGUACGGCCGCAAGGUUAAAACUCAAAUGAAUUGACGGGGGCCCGCACAAGCGGGUGGAGCAUGUGGUUUAAUUCGAUGCAACGCGAAGAACCUUACCUGGUCUUGACAUCCACGGAAGUUUUCAGAGAUGAGAAUGUGCCUUCGGGAACCGUGAGACAGGUGCUGCAUGGCUGUCGUCAGCUCGUGUUGUGAAAUGUUGGGUUAAGUCCCGCAACGAGCGCAACCCUUAUCCUUUGUUGCCAGCGAUUAGGUCGGGAACUCAAAGGAGACUGCCAGUGAUAAACUGGAGGAAGGUGGGGAUGACGUCAAGUCAUCAUGGCCCUUACGACCAGGGCUACACACGUGCUACAAUGGCGCAUACAAAGAGAAGCGACCUCGCGAGAGCAAGCGGACCUCAUAAAGUGCGUCGUAGUCCGGAUUGGAGUCUGCAACUCGACUCCAUGAAGUCGGAAUCGCUAGUAAUCGUGGAUCAGAAUGCCACGGUGAAUACGUUCCCGGGCCUUGUACACACCGCCCGUCACACCAUGGGAGUGGGUUGCAAAAGAAGUAGGUAGCUUAACCUUCGGGAGGGCGCUUACCACUUUGUGAUUCAUGACUGGGGUGAAGUCGUAACAAGGUAACCGUAGGGGAACCUGCGGUUGGAUCACCU